GAUGAAGAACGCAGCGAAAUGCGAUAAGUAAUGUGAAUUGCAGAAUUCAGUGAAUCAUCGAAUCUUUGAACGCACAUUGCGCCCGCUAGUAUUCUGGCGGGCAUGCCUGUCCGAGCGUCAUUUCAACCCUCAAGCCCCCGGGCUUGGUGUUGGGGAUCGGCGAGCCUCCGCGCCCGCCGUCCCCUAAAUCUAGUGGCGGUCUCGCUGUAGCUUCCUCUGCGUAGUAGCACACCUCGCACUGGGAAACAGCGCGGCCACGACGUUAAACCCCCAACUUCUGAACGUUUGACCUCGGAUCAGGUAGGAAUACCCGCUGAACUUAAGCAUAUCAAUAAGCGGAGGA
rnacentral:misc_RNA from 1 species